GGAAGUUUCAUCAUGUCUCGUUUGGUCGGGCCGAAAAAAGCACGUGAAAUGUGGUUUCUAGCUCGAUUUUACAAUGCUUCUGAAGCAGAGAAGAUGGGGCUAGUGAACGUCGUAGUACCGGAUACUACUAUGGAUGUAGGGUGGCAGCAGUCAACCUCGUCGGCAAUACAAGCCGAAGGAAUGUCUCGCUUCACUGCUGUCUAGUGGGCACAAAAACUAACAAUUAUGCUGUCAGAUAUUAAGUGCCAAGGAUGCUUCAACAUGCAGAACAACUGUAUUCAGUCACUCACAAACAGUGGUUGUAUGUGGAAAUUGUCAAACUGUCUUGUGCCAACCAACUGGAGGUAAAGCUAGACUUACCGAGGGAUGCUCAUUCUGGAGAAAGGGAGAUUAAGCGGUUGCGAUAAGGGAAUGUUGUAGUCGAUAUUCAUUAUUACUAGUAGAACAAUGUAGAUUAUAUAGUGUUUGUUUUUAGCUAAAUAAUGG